UAUUUUUAUGCCCCACCUACGAUAGUAGAGGGGCAUUAUGUUUUCUGGUCUGUGCCUCCGUUCGUUCGUCCGUUCGUCCGUUCGUUCGUCCGACUUCAGGUUAAAGUUUUUGGUCAAGGUAGUUUUUGAUGAAGUUGAAGUCCAAUCCACUUGAAACUUAGUACACAUGUUCCCCAUGAUAUGAUCUUUCUAAUUUUAAUGCCAAAUUAUAGUUUGACCCCAAUUUCAUGGUCAACUGAACAUAGAAAAUGAAAGUGCGAAGUUCAGGUUAAAGUUUUUGGUCAAGGUAGUUUUUGAUGAAGUUAAAGUCACAACUACUUGAAACUUAGUACACAUGUUCCCUAUGAUAUGAUCUUUCUAAUUUUAAUUCCAAAUUAAAGUUUUGACCCCAAUUUCACGGUCCACUGAACAUGAAAAAUUAUAAUGCGAGUGGGGCAUCUGUGUACUAUGGACACAUUCUUGUU
rnacentral:lncRNA from 1 species